UCAAAAGUCAACGACUGCUGUCAUAAGGAGCGCAGGAGCAGAGCUUCUCUAAGAUCAAUUCAGCCUGCCUUCCUCCCUCCACCUUGUCUGCUACCUCACUGAAAUAAAAUUAAUAGAAAGACUCUACCUGUCUCCAACUCCACCUUAAGAAGGAGGGCCCGUGUAGACGGAGAAAACCGACUUAAACAAAUGCGGGAUGACGCCACAAAUUUAAUUGACUUUCAGAUGACAACAGAGAGGAACCUUGACCAUGGACACAUCAGUGAAGAGCAUUUUCAUGAAAGUCACACUGGAACUGAUAAUCCACACUGUCUAGACACUGAAACCGGUGCUGGUUUUAGUGAGCAAGAUGGCAUGGAGAUAGAUCUAGGCCUGUCUGAGGAUUUUGAGGAUGCUGCUUGUGAUGUUCAGACUCAGACAUCUGAGUCUGAUCAUUUUGAUGAUGAACUCCAAGACUCGGUUUCACUCUCUGACAGUUUAUCCCACUGGGCCAUACAAUUUCGUAUUUCCUUGGUCGCUUUGACAGCAUUAUUGGCCAUACUUCGCAUUUACCAUUCUGAUAUUCCAAAGGAUGCUAGGACACUCCUCAGAACUGAGACAGAAUACUCAAUUCUUGAAAGGGCUGGAGGACAGUACCACUAUUUUGGCAUUCUGGCUUCUCUUAGAAAUACAUUGUUAAAGUUCAAACACACAUUAGCA